rnacentral:rRNA from 1 species
CCCUUAGAUGUCCGGGGCUGCACGCGCGCUACACUGAAGGAAUCAGCGUGCUAAAACCAUUGUCGAAAGGCAUUGGUAAACCCAUUAAAAUCCUACGUGAUUGGGAUCGGGAAUUGCAAUUAUUUCCCUUGAACGAGGAAUUCCCAGUAAGUGUGGGUCAUAAGCUCGCGUUGAUUACGUCCCUGCCCUUUGUACACACCGCCCGUCGCUGCCCGGGACUGAGCCGUUUCGAGAAAAGCGGGGACUGCUGCUGUCGGGGCUUUCGGGCCUUGGCUUCGGUAGAAACCGCUUUAAUCGCAGUGGCUUGAACCGGGCAAAAGUCGUAACA